rnacentral:rRNA from 1 species
ACGGGUGAGAAACACGUGGGCAACCUGCCCUUGAGACUGGGAUAACUUCGGGAAACCGGAGCUAAUACCGGAUAAUAUAAGGAACCUCCUGGUUCCUUGUUGAAAGAUGGUUUCGGCUAUCACUUAAGGAUGGGCCCGCGGCGCAUUAGCUAGUUGGUGAGGUAACGGCUCUCCAAGGCGACGAUGCGUAGCCGACCUGAGAGGGUGAUCGGCCACACUGGGACUGAGACACGGCCCAGACUCCUACGGGAGGCAGCAGUAGGGAAUCUUCCACAAUGGACGAAAGUCUGAUGGAGCAACGCCGCGUGAGUGAUGAAGGCCUUCGGGUCGUAAAGCUCUGUUGUUAGGGAAGAACAAGUGCGAGAGUAACUGCUCGCACCUUGACGGUACCUAACCAGAAAGCCACGGCUAACUACGUGCCAGCAGCCGCGGUAAUACGUAGGUGGCAAGCGUUAUCCGGAAUUAUUGGGCGUAAAGCGCGCGCAGGUGGUUUCUUAAGUCUGAUGUGAAAGCCCACGGCUCAACCGUGGAGGGUCAUUGGAAACUGGGGAACUUGAGUGCAGAAGAGGAAAGUGGAAUUCC